UGGGGAAUUUUCCGCAAUGGGCGAAAGCCUGACGGAGCAAUGCCGCGUGGAGGUGGAAGGCCUACGGGUCGUCAACUUCUUUUCUCGGAGAAGAAACAAUGACGGUAUCUGAGGAAUAAGCAUCGACUAACGCUGUGCCAG
rnacentral:rRNA from 1 species